rnacentral:lncRNA from 1 species
CAGCUUUGUCCAGGGUCUGCCAUGAGGGGCCUGGAGCCUCACUAGAUCUGGCAGCUAAAGGCUCUCGCAUACCCUUAGAACAGAAUAGAACCCGGAAACAACCCCAACAGUCGUUCUUUUACAGAAGAUAGAAAUUGUCCUUUGAGGUCAGAGACCACCACUGAGGUCUGGUAAGGCAUGGGGCCACCAAGUCCUUUCUGCAGCUGGCUGGGUCCUUAGGAUCAAGCACUGUGGCUCCAGGAAUGGCAGCUGUGUGCUGGGUACACACCAGCACAUGCACAGAGAGACAGGACUACAUGGGCAUGGCUGACUUCUGUGGCCCCGGCACAGAUGUGCCAACAAUGACCAGCACUCCAGUUGGAAGCACAGCUGUGGAAGGCAGAUGCUGCCCGAGGACCAUGGCAGCAGCACUGUGCCCAGAAACAAGCUCUAAGACUAUGAUCACAACAUGAUGCUCUCAACUGUCUUUGCACAGCUGAUGUUGAAAAAAAAUGCUAUUAACAUGUUGUAGAAAAAUAAAUACCGUUCAAUAGAC